rnacentral:rRNA from 1 species
CGUAGGUGGCCUGACAUGUCAACUGUGAAAACCCGGAGCUCAACUCCGGACUUGCAGUUGAAACUGCCAGGCUUGAGGACGGUAGAGGAAGACGGAACUGCCAGUGUAGGGGUAAAAUCCUUAGAUAUUGGCAGGAACGCCGGYGACGAAGGUGGUUYUCUGGGCCGGUUCUGACACUGAUGCUCGARAGCCAGGGGAGCGAACGGGAUUAGAUACCCCGGUAGUCCUGGCCCUAAACGAUGUUCACUAGGUGUGGGGAGCGGAAAGCUUUCYGUGCUAAAGCUAACGCGAUAAGUGAACCGCCUGGGGAGUACGCCCGCAAGGGUGAAACUYWAAGGAAUUGACGGGGGCCCGCACAAGCGGUGGAGCGUGUGGUUUAAUUCSAUGCUAAGCGAAGGACCUUACYAAGGUUUGACAUGCUGAUAGUAGUGA